CAAAUACCCACCAUUUGCUUCAACGUGGAUGGAACUGGAAGGUAUUAUGCUGAGUGAAAUGUAAACAUGGUGUAUCAAAAUCAGAAUUUGAUCAACUAUGACAAAUGAAAUGGCAUAUACUAGGUGAUGAACACUGCUAUGUUGUAAGAAGCCCUGUGGAGCCAUCCAAAAAGCACAGUAAGGAACUAAACCCCUGAAUUUCAACACAUUAUGAGGAACUAAGGCCCUUGAUUAAAAUCCUGUGAAGAAUUAAGCCUGCCAACAAUCAUGCCAGUGAGCUUAGAAGUCAAUCUCCUAUUGCAGUUGAAGCUUCAGAUAAGUGCAUAGACAUGACUACAACUUCAUGAAAGGUGUUGAAUCAGAGACACCUGACUAAAUUGUACUUGGAACUUUGGCCCACAGAAACUAUGAGAUUAAAAAUGUUCGUUGUGUAAA